UACGGAGGGUGCAAGCGUUAUCCGGAUUCACUGGGUUUAAAGGGUGCGUAGGUGGGUCUGUAAGUCCGUGGUGAAAUCUCCAAGCUUAACUUGGAAACUGCCAUGGAUACUAUAGGUCUUGAAUACCGUGGAGGUGAGCGGAAUAUGUCAUGUAGCGGUGAAAUGCUUAGAUAUGACAUAGAACACCAAUUGCGAAGGCAGCUCACUACACGAAUAUUGACACUGAGGCAACGAAAAGCGUGGGGAGUCAAACAGGA
rnacentral:rRNA from 1 species